AGGUGUAUGCUUAUAUGAAUUCUUUGUUUGGAGAGUAUCUAAAAAAGUAUUCAAUCGAAUGCGCAUUUUAAAUGGUGAAAAUUCUCGGACUGUAAUCUAAUCAUUUUUCACUUACUCUUUCUUUCUGUUGGAUGUUGGAUUAAUAUAACAGUACCUUUAUUUUUUUUUAGGUAAAUGCUAGUGAUAGUCGUGGAAAGGCUGAUUCUAAAAUUGAGAAAGGAAUUGGUGGUAGUACUGCAAAUUCCAUAAAAGAACUUGUUAGCAAUGAAUCCCUAGGUGCUAAUAUUGGCAGAUUGCACCAUCAGAAGACUGUUCUGAUUAUGGAUGAGGUUGAUGGCAUGACUGCUCAUAGAUUUUCUAUUCUUUCGGAGUUGGCUCGUGAUGUGUUGGCAAUUCCAAUUUCUAGUGUGGCGACGGAAUGCGCGUUUAGCACUGGUGGUCGUAUUCUUUAUUCAUUUAGGAGUUCAUUGACUCCUAAAUGUGUGCAAGCUCUUAUUUGUGUUGCACUGUAUUUAAGUGUUAAUACUUAAGACUGUUUUUGUUGGACUGUGUUUAACUUGUUUAACUGUGUUUAAGU